rnacentral:lncRNA from 1 species
AUCCAACUUGCUUGCUCACGAAGACCAAGGGCAAUCUUAAGGAAGCCCAUCAUUGGAAUAUACAAGCCAAGUUAUAUAAUGAAGAUUCCCACUAGCAUAUGGUAGUGACAAAGAAAAAAGCUCUCAAUCAUGAAGAACAUGGUGCUAUUAUGAAGCACAAGUGUGGAAAAAGAUAGUAGCAUUGUCCCUUCUCUCUUUUUCUCUCUUUUUUUUUGUUUGGGCUCUUAGGCCUCUUUUUUUUCUUUUCUCUUUUCUUUUUAUUUUUACUAGGACAUAUGCCCGUGCGUUACAACGGGAAAAAUGUCAACGUUGACAUGUCGAUGGUUUCCGGUGACCAUAUAAAUUUACUUGAGUGGAAAUAAAUUUUCAAUCAUAGUGAUAGCUCCAGCCAAAAACCGAAAACAUAGUCUCAUUGGCUAUAAGCGUCCAACUGUCCAAAGAGAUGUAGACUUCAGAGGAGCAGUAUGGAACAUCAUCAUAAGAAUAUUGAAAAGGUACUAUCAGCAACAUGAACAAAGAUAGACUGGCACACACUUAAAUGAUGGGGAAGAAACAUGACGUGUUUAUUACAAUGUAAAUAAUAAGUUCUCCCUCAACUGGUGCAAACACAUUAUUGCCACACUUAUGUUAUUACAUCCAAUAUACAUAUAGGAUGUAAUAACAUCUUAUAUUGCGGG